UAGAGUUUGAUCCUGGCUCAGGAUUAACGCUGGCGGCGUGCAUAACACAUGCAAGUCGAACGAUGAAACUUAGUAGACUUCUUCGGAAAGACACUAAGCGGAUUAGUGGCGAACGGGUGAGUAACGCGUGAGUAACCUGCCUUACACAAGGGGAUAGCCUUUGGAAACGAAGAAUAAUACCCUAUAAAACCAUAAAAGCACAUGCUAGAAUGGUCAAAGUGCUAGCGGUGUAAGAUGGACUUGCGUCUGAUUAGCUAGUUGGUGAGAUAAAAGCUCACCAAGGCAACGAUCAGUAGCCGGCUUGAGAGAGUGUACGGCCACAUUGGGACUGAGACACGGCCCAGACUCCUACGGGAGGCAGCAGUGGGGAAUUUUGCACAAUGGGGGAAACCCUGAUGCAGCGACGCCGCGUGAUUUAGAAGGCCUUCGGGUUGUAAAAAUCUUUUGUAUAGGAAGAAAAUGACAGUACUAUACGAAUAAGGUCCGGCUAAUUACGUGCCAGCAGCCGCGGUAAUACGUAAGGACCGAGCGUUGUCCGGAAUCAUUGGGCGUAAAGGGUACGUAGGCGGCUAGAAAAGUUAGAAGUCAAAGG
rnacentral:rRNA from 1 species